rnacentral:rRNA from 1 species
UACGUAGGCAGCAAGCGUUGUUCGGAGUUACUGGGCGUAAAGGGUGUGUAGGCGGUCGGAUAAGUGUGGUGUGAAAUCUCCCGGCUCAACUGGGAGGGUGCGCUACAAACUGUCUGGCUAGAGUGCGGGAUGGGAAAGUGGAAUUCCUGGUGUAGCGGUGAAAUGCGUAGAUAUCAAGAGGAACACCUGAGGUGAAGACGGGUUGCUGGGCUGACACUGACGCUGAGGCGCGAAAGCCAGGGGAGCAAACGGG